rnacentral:lncRNA from 10 species
CUAGGAGUUACAGUGCUUGUGUCCUAGACUGCCUUUUGAGUUUAUUUAGAGCCCCAUAGCACUUCAACCUGCAGUGGCAAGCCUCUCGGGAACUCAAAUUCUGACCAUUGGGAUCAGUGGUUCCCCUCUGGCUAGGGCUGGUUUAAAUACUCCCUCUGUAGGCAGGUGUCAGCUGAGUGCGGUCCGGUUUUCCUUUCUGCUAUAACAGGAAAGCACACUGAGUUCAAUGCCUCACAAUUGCUGGCUCUCCCUCUCUCCAAAGCACAGAAAUGCUCUUUGCACCACACCAUCACUGCCAGGGGAUGGAGGAGGGGUUGCACUGGUGAUUCAAGACUGUCCUACUUCUUCAGUGCCUCCUUCAGUGAUAUGAAGCCAAAACCAGACCAGGAAACUUUUUCAGCUUUGUGACUGAGAGACAGCCAGCCUUUCAGCUGGGUGAGCUUUCCAGUUGCAUGAGAAAGAGCUUCAUAAGAAACCACCUACACUCUUCCCAUCCAAAAAAAUAGAAAAAAAGAAAGAGAAGAAUAUAAAAAGAAUUGCUUCUCCUCCAAAAAUACAGCUCCUAGGUGCUGCUGAAAUGAGUGAGCAGGGUAAUUGAUGAGAGUUUGGGAGCUGGGAGAGCAGUGAGCUGAUGCUUGGAGCCUUGCCGCGAUCGGACACAGUAGGUUGAUUUUCCCCUCAACAUGCAGGACCAUACCUAACGAUUCCUUACAACAAAACAGAAUACAAAGUAAAGAGGAUUUGACACACAGCAAUUCCUACCAUCCUCUUGGCCCCCCAGCCCGGGAUAUUGAAGCCAAAGUUGAAUUUGAAAAGCACAUUUUCCCAAACUCCUAUUUUAAAAGCAGACACUAUCUUAAUGGCACAGUGAUAACAAUUAUAUUCAGUUAUUUUUUCUUCGAUCCUGCCAAAGAGAUGCUUGGGAAAAGCAAAGAUUUUUAACAUCUGGCUUGCCUGAACAGAAUUCGUACUUCAGUGAAGAAUGCUACAUUAUGAAGACUUCUCUUUCAAUUCUUUUAGUUUCUGGAUAUCAAUGAAGAUAUCACCACUAAUGAAAGUGGUAAAUCUGGGGAAGAUUACUCAGAGUGGCAAGAUUGCAACAUUUUUCCCAGGGAUUUUUAGGGACCCUCUCAACUAAACAAAUAGCAGUAAAGAAGAAUCACAUUUUAAAAUAUCCUUCUAAUGUACUCCAUUUUAAAUAUAUACACCUACUGUGUACCCAUGAAAAUUUUAAAAAAAAUUUUAAGUAUCCUUCCAGAGGUUUUGUGGAAAGGUGGGGUUUUAUUUUCUAAUAUCACAAAUAUUACUUGUUGAUUCAAGCCAGUCAUCUAGCCAGUUAUAGCAACUUCUCAAAGCUAUUUUAGGAAGAAAUUUUUGCUUCUUGUCAUCUUCCCACCAAAGAUAAGUUCUGGAGAAGUUCAUACGCUAUUAACUAUGACAAUAACUGAGACCUCAAUUUACAUUUUUCUCCUUGCUCCAAACUCAUUCCUGGGUCACCAGAAUAGACAUAGAUAUGAAUGUGUAGGCUCCAUGAGGACCACACCAGGCAGGAUACAAAAACACUGGAGUGUAUCAGGAGAAGUGAUUUGCCCUCCUCCUACCUGCCAAAGGUGGUGAUUUAGAAGUGAUUUAGGAGUAAGACUGGGGAGACUUCUUGAAGACAUCUUGGGAUAUUAGAGUCAUUCUAUUCACACCCUCGCUCCUUGAGAAAGGGGAUCAUUUGCCAUGGUCCCUCAUAGAGAGGAUCCCUAGAGACAAUCCCGCAAAGCUCAAGGGUACAUCUGAACAUAGGGACUGGCCCCAGUUUCUCGUUUGGAGUGUGCCAAGUGACAGAACCCAUUGGCACAUGCCAAGCCCCACGCAAAGGCCACCAGAGAGCUUUGGACAUAGGCAGAGGGCCUCAGAAAGGGGGGCAGAACAAGUCAGGAGAGGGCACAAAUCACCUCCCAGUUCUUCAAACACCCAAGGUGGUUGUAAUAGGGAGUCUAAGAUUCUUGGGGCCCGAGAGGCCCCAUAAGAUGGCUGACUGGCUGGUUGAAUUCUAAGCAAACUUCCGUUCCCUGGACACACAGGAAGCAAAGGGACUCAGUAGUAAUAUUAGUCUCAGGCUAAAGGGUCCCCUGUCCUGGACCCCAUGCUUUACAGGGUCCUGCCUUUGCCAACAAAUACAUUUACUAAAGAACACGCAUUGCUGCCAUUCUGGGUCUGAGAUCAGAGCUCAGAGCUGGCACAGACCAACCUAAAACUCUAAAUAUUUGCUCUCCCAGCUGACAUUAUGCAGGCCCCAGGGAAAUCUCCACUUGCAUUAGAUCCUGUAAAUAAAAGAUGUUAUAUGCAAAACUCUGAAGGUUUAUGGGCUGUGCUGCUACAGAGGCUGCUUUGGAGUGUGAAGAGGAUAGCAGUAUUGUUCAUAUUAUGCUUAAAUAUGUAUAUAUGUAGGUUUAGUUAUAUGCCUGAAGCAUAAUUCCUGUUCUUUACUAUGGCAAUUUGAUGGACAUUAAAUCCUAGAAUUGCAAAUAGUUUUUUUUUUAUAAAAUAGGCUUUUUAAUUUUAAUAAAUCUUGAAUAUUUGACAUGAAAUCUUAAUUAUUCAGAAAUGUAGGAAAAGUAAAUUUAUUUAUAUUUGUUUACUCCAAUUUAAAUUUUCUUAAUGCAUUCAAAUUGCAUAUAUUUUUAAUAUAAUUACAUUUAAUUUUUAAUCCAUUUGAUCACUGCUGACACAAGAAUACAAGUUAUAUAUGAAAAUAUUAAUUUUAUCAACACAAUUAGUGACUUUGCUAGAAAUGACCAAAAAAUUUUGAUUCUAGCAAGUAAGUACAUACUAAUUUCUGAAUUAUUACUCAUCCAAACAUUGCCAGCCCAUGAAGAGAAUGCCCAGGUACAUGCAAUACAAAUUAAAUUCAAUAGUCUUUGAUAUUUUGCUAAUUCUGGGCUUUAUAUAUAUUUUUCUAAUUUGUCCUCAUAAAGGUAUGUGUGUCAAGUGAGGAUGACAGGACAUAUUUCAUUUAGCAAUUUGUUAGUUUGAUUUAUAAUUCUAAAAAAUAUAUACUUAGGGAAUGGGGUCUCCAUUUGCUCCAUGCCUUGUAAAGUUUGGGUGGACAUGAAGGAAUCCCAUCUGUAGAGGCUCACGGUAGACCACUAUCCUGAGACUGGAUGAAGCCGAAGUGAAUGUCAAAAUGCCAUAGGCAUCCAAGGAUCACUGAGCCAGCAGGUGGUACCCAUCGACCAGACUGGGUGAUGAUAUUGGCAGCUGGAAUCAGCAGAGAGGUGACUGAAAUCAGCUAUUCCACUUCCACCUGCCCCACUGCCUGCACCAGUCAGCUCAUUCUUCCUCAUCUUCCCCUCUCCCUGCUGCCUUCACAAGAAGUCAAACAUGAGAUUCCUUCCCUGGAAAUUCACCAAGAGUUGAAUGCAGUUUGAAUUGCAGUUGAAUGCAGGGAGUGAAGGCAGUGUGAAGAGAGAAUUUUGAACUGGAUAGUAAUUGAAAUGAUAAUACUUGAAUUUGACUACAGAUAUAUUACAUUAAACCAGUGCUUAACAGAUUGCAGUAUUUUCCUGCUAUAGAACAUGAGUGGGAACUUAUAAAAGAAAAAUGGGCACCAAAAUGAAGUGUUUCAUGUUUGCUGAUAUUUGGGUUCUUCUAAUGCCUACCUUCUACUGGUAGCACCAUGCCAGAAAAUAGGACACUUUUUUAAUUGUUGAAAUCAUCAAAGAUAGAAGGAUUGGGAUUAUUCAUUUGUUGGCUUGAUGCAGUGACUUGUAAUUCUAGCUGCACGAUAGAAUAACUGAGAGCUUUAAAAAUGUUUCAAUUUCCAAUUUUGCCCCAUCCCAGAAUAAUUGAGUGUGAAUCUCUCUGUGUACAGAUUCUAUAUGUCUUAAAAGCAACCCUAGUGAUUCUAAUGAGAAAAUGGUGUUGUAACCCACAGGAGAUACCUGCUUGGUCAAUUGUUUGCCACUUUUGUGUCUGUGCUGUCAGAUAUUCACAGAUUCACCAGUUAAUGCUGUACUCUUUCCUCUUUCCCUAGCUGUGUUGUCAUGGUCCAAGACCCUGCCUCAGGUGCCUUGCACAAGAGCUUGUUUACUGAGGGGUAUGUGACAGCCACAUCAGUGACCUGGGGAAAUUAGCCUGUGUCAAAGCCAAUUAGUCACACUGUUUCCACUUUAAUAAAGGAGAUCAAUUAAGAGGAGAGCUGCACUGGAAAAUUCCCAGGCCUGCCAGACCUAGGGUGUUAUGUUGUUAGGCACCAAAUUCAUUCAUUCACUCAACAACCAUAUAUUUAGUGCCAGCUAUGUGCUGGACACUGGAAAUAAAAUGAUAAAUACAGAUACAACAACAACAACAACUUUCAAAGCACUCUCAGUUUUUUAUCACCUCGGAAAUCAAUUUCUCACCUGCCUAUUUUUUAAAAAAUUGCCUUCUCUCUUGCAUUGUUUCUGAUAUGGAAUCUUGUUAUCUUUAUCUUUACUCUUCUGUAUAUAGCAUGUGUUUUCUCUCAGACUGCUUUUAAGACUUUAAAAGCCCCUGAAUUUCAACGACUCUUUUCUAGACUUUGGAAUUUGAGAGGUCAGUAAUCUUUUUAGUUAGAAGAGUUACCAGUUUUAAUUGUGCAAGGUAAAAAACAAAAUGAAAGAUUUUUUGACACACAAAAAGUAGCAAAUAGAUCAUCUCAGUAUAAGGAAUUGCAAUUUAAAUUAAAUAAAUUUAGCUUCAUGAAAAACUAUACAAUUUUUUUCUCCUUUUGCUGCUUCCUAACAAGCAGUUGUUUGAAACCUUCCUUACUUCCUUUUUCCUUUCUUGUUUAAAGCUUGCUUUCUUUGUUUCUUUCUUUGUUUCUUUGUUUCUUUCUUUCUUCCUUUUUUCUUUUCUCUUUUUUCCCUUUCUUUUUCUUUCUAAUGAGCAGUACCUGUUCUCAUUCUCCAAAUAAAUAUUCUAUGAUCAAAUUACACUUCCAGCCAAGAUAGAGAAAAAGACCAGAUUUACCCUCUCACCUUAACCAAUAAAUUUUAGAAGUAUAUGAAACAAUGGUUUUCAGGACACUGGAUAUCAGACAAAAACAGUGAUUCCUGAAAGACAGGAGAUGAAUGAGGUGAGUCCUGUGAUUACCCCGGUUUAAUGUUUUGAGAGAGAGUCCAGUCUGUAGUGCAGGGGGGAAGAACCCAAGUCGAGCCUGGAAGACUCCCUGACUAGAAAUAGAGCUAAAAGUUGGGAGUGAAUAAAGUGACAAGAGUCACUGGAAUGUCUACCAGGCAAGAUAUCUGAAGAUCUGUAACUCCCUUUGAGUUUUAAGCUGAGCAAUAAUUAGCACAUGCAUGGAAGGAAACUACCUGAGGCCAGGAACAGAAUCACCUGGAAGGACAGAGGUAACAGUGUCUGGCAUUCACACAGAGUCAACAUAGUGCCUGUACCCAGAAAUCACACUGGAAAACCUCAUGUUUCAUAAGGCAUUUGGUAGAAUACUCAGAAAGGUCUUGUCUUGGUAAUGGGGGAUAAUUAGCCCUGUAAUACGAGGACUGCUCUCGUCCCAUUUAAUAAAUCAUGAAACCAAAACCUGAAAGGAUUGAACUAUUUUCACAUACAUUAACUGUGUCCCAGAACAAAGCUGAUUUGGUUUGGCUGUAUCUCCACCCAAAUCUCAUCUUGAACUGUAGUUCCCAUGAUCCCUACAUGUCAUGGGAGGGACCCAGUGGGAGGUAAUUUAAUCAUGGGGGCCGUUACUCCCAUGCUUUUCUCAUGAUUGUGAGUGAGUUCUAUGAGAUCUGAUGGUUUAUGAGGGGCUUUUCCCCUUUUGCUUGGCACUUUUCCUUGCUGCUGCCAUGUGAAGAGGGAUAUGUUUGCUUCUCCUUCCACCAUGAAUGUAAGUUUCCUGAGGCAUCCCCACCCCUGCAGAACUGUGACUCAAUUAAACCUCUUUCCUUUAUAAAUUACUCAGUCUUGGAUAUGUCUUUAUUAGCAGCAUGAAAAUGAACUAAUACAAAAACACAAGAAUAUUUACAGAGAUAUAAAGCUUGCAACAAGGUAAAAUUCCCAAUCGCUUUGCGUUUAUACUGAGUAAUGGGAUUGCUGGGUCAAAUGGUAUUUCUGGUGCUAGAUCUUUGAGGAAUCACCACACCAUCUUUCACAAUGGUUGAACUAAUUUCCAUUCCCACCAACAAUGUAAAAGCAUUCCUAUUUCUCUGCAACCUUGCCAGCAUCUGCCAGUCACCAUUCUGACCGGGAUGAGAUGUUAACUCAUUGUGGUUUUUAUUUGUAUUUCUCUAAUAAUCAGUGAUGUUGAGCUUUUUUUCAUAUGUUUAUUGGCUACAUGAAUGUCUUCUUUUGAGAAGUGUCUAUUUAUAUCUCUGUCCAUCAACAAUAGACUAGAUAAGGAAAAUGUGGUACAUAUACACCGUGGAAUACUAUGCAGCCAUAAAAAGGAAUGAGAUCAUGUCCUUUGCAGGGACAUGGAUGAAGAUGGAAGCCAUUAUCCUCAGCAAACUAACGCAGGAACAGAAAACCAAACACCGCAUAUUCUCACUUAUAAGUGGGAGCUGACCAAUGAGAACACAUGGACACAGGGAGGGGAACAAUACACACUGGCGCCUGUUGAGGGUUGGGGUGAGAGGAGAGAGAACAUUAUGAAAAACAGCUAAUGCAUGCUGGACUUAAUACUUAGGUGAUGGAUUUAUAGGUGCAGCAAACCACCAUGGCACACAUUUACUUACAUAACAAACCUGCAUAUCCUGCACAUGUACUCCAGAACUAAAAAUAAAAAGAAAAAAACAAAAACAAACAAACAAAAAUUCCCAAUUGUUUACAUCGAAUUAAUAAUUACCAGGCAUGCCAAUUAUCACUAGGGAUAAAGAAAAACAUAAACUAUAAUAGGAAAAAAGCAAUCAACCAAAAUAAACACAGAUCUAGAUACAUGGAAGAAAUAACAGACAAAACAGUGAUUACAACUGUAUUGCUUACAGACAAAAAAGUUAAACAGAG